AUAAAGAAAAUAACCAAAAAAUUUAACAUACACACACAGGCAACAGGCCACAGGCCACAGUCAUAGUCCAGUCCACAGUCCUUGUGGUCUGCUCUGCUACAUCCUCCCGUUUUAUGACUGGUGAUCGAAUCUCUCAAGAUGUCAAUUGCUCGAAGCUCUGAGUCUGAUCUCUCCAACUCCAGCAAUGAUUCUUAAAGAUUUAUCUCAAGAUGCUCAUUAUGAAACAGUGGAUGAUAGCUUUUUUGAGAAAAUUGCUAUGCCAAAGGUUAGAAUGUGUGGUAGGUUUCAACCCAUCAAAAAGAUGGCUCAUAAUCUGAAUCUUAUAAAAUUGAUGAGCAGUCAGGUUGAUUAGUACAUAUUAUGCAAAUUUUUAUGAUUAAUAUUA